AGUGAACGCUGGCGGUAGGCCUAACACAUGCAAGUCGAACGGCAGCACAGUAAGAGCUUGCUCUUACGGGUGGCGAGUGGCGGACGGGUGAGGAAUACAUUGGAAUCUACUUUUUCGUGGGGGAUAACGUAGGGAAACUUACGCUAAUACCGCAUACGACCUACGGGUGAAAGCAGGGGAUCUUCGGACCUUGCGCGAUUGAAUGAGCCGAUGUCGGAUUAGCUAGUUGGCGGGGUAAAGGCCCACCAAGGCGACGAUCCGUAGCUGGUCUGAGAGGAUGAUCAGCCACACUGGAACUGAGACACGGUCCAGACUCCUACGGGAGGCAGCAGUGGGGAAUAUUGGACAAUGGGCGCAAGCCUGAUCCAGCCAUACCGCGUGGGUGAAGAAGGCCUUCGGGUUGUAAAACCCUUUUGUUGGGAAAGAAAAGCAGCAGGUUAAUACCCCGCUGUUCUGACGGUACCCAAAGAAUAAGCACCGGCUAACUUCGUG
rnacentral:rRNA from 1 species